rnacentral:piRNA from 1 species
UGACGUAAAAAUACUUUCUAA